rnacentral:rRNA from 3 species
UACGGAGGGUGCGAGCGUUAUUCGGAAUUACUGGGCGUAAAGCGCACGCAGGCGGUUGCCCAAGUCAGAUGUGAAAGCCCCGGGCUUAACCUGGGAACUGCAUUUGAAACUGGGCGACUAGAGUAUGAAAGAGGAAAGCGGAAUUUCCAGUGUAGCAGUGAAAUGCGUAGAUAUUGGAAGGAACACCGAUGGCGAAGGCAGCUUUCUGGGUCGAUACUGACGCUCAUGUGCGAAAGCGUGGGGAGCAAACAGG